GACCUCAUAGCUCAGCUAGUAGAGCAUGCGCUGUUCAAAAGCGUAGAUAGCGUCCAAGCGUGGGUUUGAAUCCCACCCAGGCUA
rnacentral:tRNA from 1 species